CAUCGGCAAGGGAGCCGGAAGGAAUUCAGACUCAGGAUGAGCGGUCAGGAACGCCAGGAGGCGAAGACCGAAGGAAUUAGCCAGGAAGGCGAACGUCUGGAGACGUUGAACACGGAUAAGGACCAUAACAGGGACUGUUAUAGAGCUAACGGAUAGACAGGGCGCGUUGAGAGCCAACAUGGAAUGUAUAACCCGUAGAGGGUUGUGAGUCAGGAAAAAAGGCGACAGAUUACUCUGUCGCCUUUUUUCUUUGUUUGCUU
rfam:Kluyvera ascorbata ATCC 33433 GKAS.assembly.010, whole genome shotgun sequence.